rnacentral:lncRNA from 1 species
AUGGGAGGUUGGUCAUCAGAAAGAUCACAUAAUAAAAGGAUUGGGCCUUAGAGCCAGCCCAACCUCGACGGAGGGUGGGAGGACUAGAGAUUGCGUUCAAUUCGGUGGCAAAUGAGUCAACCAAUUGUGCCUAUGUAAUGAAAACUCUGGACGCCAAAAUUUGGUGGAGCUUCCUGGUUGGUGAACACAUCCAUGUGCCAGGAGGGUGACACAACCUGAUUCACAGAGAGAAGACACAGAAGCUCUGCAUGGAAGACCCGCCCAGACCCCGCCCUACGUGUGUCUUCAUUAGUCUGGUCCUCCUGAUUUGUAUCCUUUGUAACAAGCCUGUAAUCAACUUUCUCAGUUGUGUGUGUGAGUACGCCUGGCUUUUCAUCAAAGAGCUUUGCCGUCUUGAUGCUUCCUUUUCUGUGAACACAGCAAUAAAUAGAUUCUGCAGAACAAAUGAAGAGAUGGAGCCCAUCCAGAACCCAGCUGUGCUGCUGCAAGGUACAUUCUGUCUCCCUCUCUCUUUCUCUCUUUCCAGCACACCAAAUUCCCUACAUUCCAGGGAGGGAGUUAUCUCAGUCUCCAACUGCCCCAGAGUGGUGAGCAGCAUUCCACACACUCCAAGCAUAUAAGGAAGAAGUGCAGUAGGCUGGGGACUGGCAGAAGGAGCUCCCUGGGCAGAAGAGCCAGGAAGGUAGCUGGGUAGGAAGUAACCUGCAUGGGCCCAGCCCAAGGCACUAGAAAAUCAGCCUUCCCCAAAUAAUCACAGAGGCUUCCAAACGUGCCCCACCCCUUCAAGCUCCCUUCCCAGGGCUCUGCUGCUCCCUCUCACUUUCUCUUGCUCUUUUUCCUUCCCACUCUAAGUGUCCUACUUCCAUCUUCUUCCCAUCUCUUUGUCUCUUUCUUCCCUCUCGGGCCCACCUUUGGCUUUUCUAGGCUUUGAUAAAGAGUUUCCUGAGGCUCACCACCGGCAGCUGAAUUCUGGUCUCCUCUUCCUGCCUCUGCUUGCCUCCGUGGACUCCUAGACAUGCUCCUUGAGCUUGUGGGCAGGCAUCUCAGCACAGCUGUGGGAUCUGGGGCUCAGAGACCCCCAACUAGCCUGUGCCUAGAAUCAUAUUUCAAUAGAAUGAUUUCUUUUGAAUCUUAUUGAUGCAGAACUUUGUUCCUUAAACCCUAAAACCAGGUUCUUGUCACACAAGCAGGAAAAGCUAGGAACGCAGACGCAUUGAAGGGUGAGGGGAACAGAAUUUAUUGGGUGAAAAAGGAAAAGAAGAAAAAAAAAUCUCUCAGCAAAGCAAGAAGAGUUCCUGCCAACAGCACCCCCACCCCCAGACUGAUUCCAGGCUACACACAAGAACUGAAGAGGCCAGGCUCCUCCCCAACUGCACAUGGCACGAACUUCCCGUGGCUCCACCCCCUUCUCCCAAGUGCAUAGGCAGCCAGGAGAAAGGACUUUGUGCUCCUUCACCUCAGAAACCUGAACUCAGAAUUUCCUUGUAGACACUUUUCAGGCCUUUGUUUGCUGGAGACUGGAGUUCCCUGAGAGGAUUAAGGGUGUGGUGGGGAGUGUCUAAAGGAGCCCAGUGCCUUGAGGGCAGCCAAGAAGACAGAGGCCCUGGACUGGAUACCGGCUGAGGUAGGUGGAUCCCUGUGGGGUGGAGACCAUCCCCAGCUCCACAGCCCCAGGCAUGUCAAGGGCUAUCAUCAAGGCCUCAGAGGAGACCAGCUGCCUGGGGCACCUCAGGAAGCUAUACCCUGACACCUGGACUCCAGAGUCCACAAAUAUAUCUGUACCCAAACCAGUGGGCAAGCAAAGAAGCCCUUGCCUUUGGGAGACCUCAGGAUGUUGGCCAUGAGAACAUCAUGGAUGGGCGCGGUGGCUCGCUCCUGUAAUCCCAGCACUUUGGGAGGCCAAGGCGGGUGGAUCACCUGAGGUUAGGAGUUCGAGACCAGCCUGGCCAACAUGGUAAAACCCUGUCUCUACUAAAAAUACAGAAAUUAGCCAGGCACAGUGGCAGGUGCCUGUAAUCCCAGCUACUCGGGCGGCUGAGGCAGGAGAAUCGCUUGAACCUGGGAGGCAGAGGUUGCAGUGAGCCAAGAUCAUAUCACUGUGCUCCAGCUUGGGCAACAAGACAGAAACUCCAUCUCAAAAAAAAAAAAAAGAAAAGAAAUCAUGGACUCCAAAAGGCCUGAAGUGGAGAGUCCUGAAGCCAUCUCAGACCAUGAGGCCACCCUAAGGGUAGAAGGAAGCACACUAAGAUGACAGGAACAGAAGACAGGAGCCUGGGUCCAUCAUGCCAGGGAGCCUCCACACCUGCCCUGGACGUUUCAUCUCAGACCUCGUGGAUAAAGCAGAGAAAUAAAUAUCUACCUUGUUUAAGCCACUUAUUUUCAAUUUUUUGUUUCAAGCAGGCUUUUCAUGAAGUUCCCAGUCUGACAGCAUUAAUUGGUGGGCUAGAAUUUGUGGACGGUUUCCAUGUAUGUAUUCUGCAAAACCAUCCAUAAGAAAGAGUUGAACAAGUCUUGGGACUAGCUAGAGAAGUGGGCAAAAAAAGAGAGGAAGUGGCCGAGUGCGGUGGCUCACGCCUGUAAUCCCAGCACUUUGGGAUGCUCAGGCAGGCAGAUCACGAGAUCAAGAGAUUGAGACCAUCCUGGCCAACAUGGUGAAACCCCGUCUCUACUGAAAAUACAAAAAUUAGCUGGGCGUGAUGCCAUGCGCCUGUAGUCCGAGCUACUCGGGAGGCGGAGGCAGGAGAAUCACUUGAACCCUGGAGGCAGAGGUUGCAGUGUGUCAAGAUCAUGCCACCGCUCUCCAGCCUAGUAACAGAGUGAGAAUUCCGUCUCAAAAAAAAAAAAAAAAAAAAAGAGAGAGAGGAAGUAGCCUCUCCACUGCCCCUGCCAUGCCUAGAAGGUUCCCCAGCAUAAGAAGAGAUCAUUUGCAUCUCAAACAGCACAAUAGGCAGCCUGCUGGGUGGCCGGGGAAACUGUCCAAGACAGGACCGUACCAGAGGCCUUUUCUUGUCCUUUGAAUAUUUCAACUUCUGUGCAGGAAGGCUUGGGCUUUCCCAGGACAAAAUAAUUUUUAACAUUUUAUUUGUCUUAUUAAAUAUUAAAUAAAUAUAUUUGUAAAAGAUACAGACAUGAAUAACAAUGAUACAAAGAAUGACAAAGUGACCUUUUAAAUUUGAGACCAAUUCCAUCUAAAACAAUCCAAGCCACCUGUAGCUGUUGGUUUGAUUGCAAUAACCAAUACUGGACCAUGGUUACUUAACCUAUCAACCCAAGAAGAAAUCUUUCAUAACUGUGAUGAUCACGAAGGAAAUAUAAACAUGGCUAACCUGUGUCAUGAAAAAUGGAAGCUAAUUAAGGUAUCUGAAAUGAGUGAGGAGACUGAGGAUGUUCUGAAGGAAAUGCAGGAAGGAGAAUUAGCCUAAGUGCAUCCAUGUUGAACUUAUACAUAAAUCUUUCCUUGGUUGGCAAGAGUCCAGAAUAUGAUAUCACAGUGUGUGAAGGAGGCUGAGAGGAAACAGACUGUCCCAUGCAUUGCUGGCAGCAGUGCAGAUGGCACAGUUCUGUGGAGCAGACCUGCAAUAUCUACCAGAACUAUACAUGCACAAACCCUUUGACCCAGAGAUCCCCCUUCUGGGAAUCUAUCUUAUAGAUUCACCUACACAAAGGUAAACUUGCUUAGGUAUAAGGUUAUUCAUUGUGGCAUUAUUUAUAAUAACAACGGAUCAGAAACAGCCCAACAACCCAGCAAUAGGAGACUGGCGAACACACAGCUCUGGUCGAUCCACCAAUGGAAUACUAUAGAGCUGUCAAAAUGAAAAAGGCAGGAGGAACAGCUUUACGUGGUGAUAGGGAAGGAUACCCAGUAUAUUUAGUUACGAUUUUAAAAGGAAGGAGCAAGAUGUAUAUAACAUGCUUUUUUUGUGUAAUAAAAGAGGAAAUAAAAGUAUGUUAUUUAUGUUUGCAUAAAGAAACGUUGGGAGAAUAAAUAAGGCACUAUUCUGGUAAAAAUGGUUACUGACGAGCAAUGUGAGGGGAAAAAGAGAGGGUAAGU